rnacentral:rRNA from 1 species
UGGGGAAUAUUGGACAAUGGGGGCAACCCUGAUCCAGCAAUGCCGCGUGUGUGAAGAAGGUCUUCGGAUUGUAAAGCACUUUCGACGGGGACGAUGAUGACGGUACCCGUAGAAGAAGCCCCGGCUAACUUCGUGCCAGCAGCCGCGGUAAUACGAAGGGGGCUAGCGUUGCUCGGAAUGACUGGGCGUAAGGGCGUGUAGGCGGUUUACACAGUCAGAUGUGAAAUCCCCCGGGCUUAACCUGGGAGCUGCAUUUGAUACGUGUAGACUAGAGUGUGAGAGAGGGGU